rnacentral:rRNA from 1 species
AACGAACGCUGGCGGCAGGCUUAACACAUGCAAGUCGAGCGCCCCGCAAGGGGAGCGGCAGACGGGUGAGUAACGCGUGGGAACAUACCCUUUGGUUCGGAAUAACUCAGGGAAACUUGAGCUAAUACCGGAUACGUCCGUAAGGAGAAAGAUUUAUCGCCAAAGGAUUGGCCCGCGUCCGAUUAGCUAGUUGGUGAGGUAACGGCUCACCAAGGCUACGAUCGGUAGCUGGUCUGAGAGGAUGAUCAGCCACAUUGGGACUGAGACACGGCCCAAACUCCUACGGGAGGCAGCAGUGAGGAAUAUUGGACAAUGGGCGCAAGCCUGAUCCAGCCAUGCCGCGUGCAGGAAGAAGGUCCUAUGGAUUGUAAACUGCUUUAUACAGGAAGAAACACUCCCUCGUGAGGGAACUUGACGGUACUGUAUGAAUAAAGGACCGGCUAACUCCGUGCCAGCAGCCGCGGUAAAGUGUGACUGU